rnacentral:misc_RNA from 1 species
AGCAUAUAAUUUAUGAUGCUAGUAUCUAGAUAUAGGAAAUAUUCAAAUGUAUUUGUGCCCUCUCAAAAGAGAGGCUCUAUUGCUGAAGGUUAAUACAUGUACUAGUAUAGAUAUAAUGUUGUCCAACCUUACCAAAAGAGCCAUUCAAAGACUCGUGCAUUGAUGUUACUAUUUUUCUUGAUUUAGUAUACAUGUAAUUAUAUUUGAUACAAUUUCAUAGCUUACGAGUAGAUGACCACUUGAGGUCCUGAGGUACAUGUAAAAUGAUUAUGGUGGACAUCUGUCGAUGUUUACAUGGAUUAAAGUUCAUUAUAAUCAAAAUACUUUCACUGGUUUUGAAUUUUUAAAUUUUACAAUUUCUGACCAAAAGAUAUUUUAAAUUAUUUUGAAAAGGUAAAAUUAUAGAAGCCCCAGGGGGAUUCGAACUCAUGACUUACAGAUUUGUAGUGAACCCAUUGCACUACCCUUUUUGGGUAACAAUUUUGGGAAAGAAAAUAUAAAAUACUGGAUUUCAUUGUUUCUUCCAAUAGAAAAUACAUUGAGGUGUGCCGUACAUGUACCACCUUAAGAUUUCAGCUGUUGCAAAUCCUGAGAUAAAAGGAUUAAGAUAUCAGUUUCUACACAUCCUUGGGUAAAAGGAUUAGGAUUCAAAUGCUACACAAAAUUCUCUAUAAUGGAUAGUUAAAAUUUCUCUUCUGAAAUAGGAUUUCAUUGUUCAAAGAUGAAUGCUCUUAAUUUUUUUUAACUGGUUCACUGCACUAACUUUAAUGAAUGAUAGACUUGUUUACAAAUCAUAAUUUCAUGUAGUUCCAGUUUGUAAGUUGGAGAAAGCACAAAAACACAAGUGAUACCUUCCAUAUCUUUAAUUGUCUCUAUAUUAUACAAGUUGCAGAUAUUGUACAAAUACAUGUACUGAACAUGUGGUUGAUUAAUAAAUAAUUUAUUGUCAUCCUAUUGAUACAUGAAUUACAUGUCCUCGGAAGAACCACUUAAAACAGUGAUAAACAGCUAUCUACUUGGAAUAUUGGAGGUUCAGGCGCCAACAAAUCAACUUGUCAUCGUGGUGAUGGACUACUGUCUAGUGAUAAAUCCACUGUUGGCAAGGAAACCGUUAUCCCAUAGGGAGGUGCGGUGUUUACACGGGCAUUCUGAAAAAUAUCAUGUUUACUGCUUUAACAAUAUACAUAAAACAUUUAUUUUACACAAAUCAACAUGUAAGUGGCCAUGUUGCAAGAUUUUGAUUCUUUCAAUUCAUUAUUGCCUUCCAGGAUUGAAAAUGGGCCUUUUUGUUGUGACAUUGAACUUCAAAGAUAAUGCAUCAGGUUUACUGGUUUCUGUUCAUUGUGGCCACUCCUUGAGUGAAAAGUGUCAAAUAAACUGUAUUACAGGUGUCUAAUUUGUAACUCAUUUUGAUGAAAUAAUCCAUUUUAAAAAAAUUUUUGUUCAUGUAUAUAUGUUAGUACAAUGUAAUAUCAAAAUACUUUUAUUUCAUCAUAUGCAGGUUGUAAUAUCAUGUGCAGGUUGUAAUAGCUUAAUACAAACUUUACUCAAG